AUUGAACGCUGGCGGCAGGCCUAACACAUGCAAGUCGAACGGUAACAGGAAGAAGCUUGCUUCUUUGCUGACGAGUGGCGGACGGGUGAGUAAUGUCUGGGAAACUGCCUGAUGGAGGGGGAUAACUACUGGAAACGGUAGCUAAUACCGCAUAACGUCGCAAGACCAAAGAGGGGGACCUUCGGGCCUCUUGCCAUCGGAUGUGCCCAGAUGGGAUUAGCUAGUAGGUGGGGUAACGGCUCACCUAGGCGACGAUCCCUAGCUGGUCUGAGAGGAUGACCAGCCACACUGGAACUGAGACACGGUCCAGACUCCUACGGGAGGCAGCAGUGGGGAAUAUUGCACAAUGGGCGCAAGCCUGAUGCAGCCAUGCCGCGUGUAUGAAGAAGGCCUUCGGGUUGUAAAGUACUUUCAGCGGGGAGGAAGGGAGUAAAGUUAAUACCUUGACUAAUUGACGUUACCCGCAGAAGAAGCACCGGCUAACUCCGUG
rnacentral:rRNA from 1 species